UACGAAGGGGGCUAGCGUUGCUCGGAAUCACUGGGCGUAAAGCGCACGUAGGCGGCUCUUUAAGUCAGGGGUGAAAUCCUGGAGCUCAACUCCAGAACUGCCUUUGAUACUGGAGAUCUCGAGUCCGGGAGAGGUGAGUGGAACUCCGAGUGUAGAGGUGAAAUUCGUAGAUAUUCGGAAGAACACCAGUGGCGAAGGCGGCUCACUGGCCCGGUACUGACGCUGAGGUGCGAAAGCGUGGGGAGCAAACAGG
rnacentral:rRNA from 1 species